ACCUCAGCUCAAGCAAGAAAACCCGCUGAACUUAAGCAUAUCAAUAAGCGGAGGAAAAGAAACUAACAAGGAUUCCCCUAGUAACGGCGAGUGAAGAGGGAAAAGCUCAAAUUUUAAAUCUACCUGGUUCCCAGGUCGAAUUGUAUUUUGAAGAAGCGAUAUCUGUGUUGAGGUCUGGUUCAAGUUCUUUGGAACAAGACAUCAUGGAGGGUGAGAAUCCCGUGCAUGAUCAGACCAAGAUACUUAAUAUUCGUUUUCUAAGAGUCGAGUUGUUUGGGAAUGCAGCUCAAAUUGGGUGGUAGACUUCACCUAAGGCUAAAUAUCAGCGAGAGACCGAUAGCGAACAAGUACUGUGAAGGAAAGAUGAAAAGCACUUUGAAAAGAGAGUUAAAUAGUACGUGAAAUUGUUGAAAGGGAAACGAUUGAAGUCAGUCAUGCUAGUGAAAAUUCAGUUUGACGGGUUUUGGGUUUAGGAGUAAGAGGUAGGGUCAAACCGUCUCUCUUUUAAACUUGGGAUUUGUCGGAUGCACUUUUUCUUUGGCAGGUCAGCGUCGAUUUCGGGGGUUGUAAAAUACUUGGGGGAAAGUAGCUCUGCUUCGGGAGAGUGUUAUAGACCUUGGGAGAUGCAGCCCGUGGGAUCGAGGAUUGCAGCAAAUGCCUUUGGCUUGUCUUCUGAUCUUUGGUUGUUACCUCGUUUAUGACAACAUUCUUGUCAUCGAUGAGUUCUAAUGGUUAUGGGUUAGAAUGAUCAAAAAUUUGCUAAGGAUGCUGACGUAAUGGCUUUAAACGACCCGUCUUGAAACACGGACCAAGGAGUCUAACAUAUGUGCGAGUGUUUGGGUGACAAACCCGGAACGCGUAAUGAAAGUGAACAUGGGUGGGAUCCUCCUCGUGGGGAGCACCAUCAACCGAUCAGGAUAUUUUUUGAUAGAUUUGAGUAAGAGCACAUCUGUUGGGACCCGAAAGAUGGUGAACUAUGCCUGAAUAGGGUGAAGCCAGAGGAAACUCUGGU
rnacentral:rRNA from 1 species